rnacentral:rRNA from 1 species
GUGGGGAAUCUUCCGCAAUGGACGAAAGUCUGACGGAGCGACGCCGCGUGAGUGAAGAAGGCCUUCGGGUCGUAAAGCUCUGUCAUCAGGGACGAACGGCCGGUGGAGUGGAAAGCCACCGGAUUGACGGUACCUGAGAAGGAAGCCACGGCUAACUACGUGCCAGCAGCCGCGGUAAUACGUAGGUGGCAAGCGUUGUCCGGAAUUAUUGGGCGUAAAGCGCGCGCAGGUGGGAUCUUAAGUCCAUUUUGAAAGUUCGGAGCUCAACUCCGUGAUGGGAUGGAAACUGGGAUUCUUGAGUACCGGAGAGGAAAGCGGAAUUCCUAGUGUAGCGGUGAAAUGCGUAGAUAUUAGGAGGAACACCAGUGGCGAAAGCGGCUUUCUGGACGAUAACUGACGCUGAGGCGCGAAAGCCAGGGGAGCGAACGGGAUUAGAAACCCCAGUAGUCC